GUUUACCCGUUUUCAUUCGGGUAAACACAAAUAUCAGAACUGAUCAUAGUAAUCGUGUAUCCGGUGAAUUCAAAAUUGGACAGUUAAAUUCCAUGAUUACAGGAACUGCAUCCAUGAUUUUUGGCGCUGACAUUAUGCUCAUCAGUUUUCACUCUGUUGUGGUUUCAUUCAUCCAUGUUUGUAUAAUUGUAUCGUUCUACCGAUGGAGAAAGGUAAUAUUUUUAGUAUUUCUACCCUUCCAUAAUUUUCUUCUCUCAUUCUCUUUCAGAUCUAAAAAAAAUGCUUCAGUUAUGUUAAUGGAUAUCAAAUUCAAAUUCCAGGCUCUUUCAUGUCAACAAUGGUUAUUAUGGAGGCAUCUGAAGGGAAAGUAUCAGUGAGUGAGACGCCAAAAAGUGUUUGUUAAAAUGCCUAAACUAAACUGUUUGUUCUUUGUGUUGUUUACAUUUUUUUAGCGCUUUGGGUUGGCCAUGGUCCAUUAGGUGAUGAAUGACAUGCCUUUACUAAUGCGAUAGGAACUUACAGGUUUGCAGUUUUGAAAUAUUUGUCCAUCGAUACACUUAGAUAUUGUGGGUGUACUUUCACUUUUAUACUUUCAGCGAUGGGUACUAAUAUCCGUGUACUCAAGAUGAAGCAGCAUGGAUGAAAACAAUUGAAACAUUUAGUUUUACUGUUGAACCAUCAUUUGCUGGCAUCAUUAUUGUUAUUUUUUUAGAUGUAUAUUAAACAUAUAGUGGUGCAUAUAACAUAGGGUGUGUAUAUAUAUGAUAUUAUGUGUCCGCUUUAUUUUAGGAUAUUUUUUAUGGAUGUUAAUGAUUUUUUUGGAAUUUGAUAAUCGCUAGAGAUGAGUUUGGUUUUACAACAUGCUUGGAUGUGGUUGUACUGGCCUCUUAUUGCUUUCUAAUGAUGGUUGGGCUGCAGAAGAUUAUUUCAGUGAGAUUCGAGUAAGGAUGUUAGGUGACAGAUAUGAGUUUAGCCUUUUGUGAUCUCAGGCAGAACCGAAGCGAAAACUCCUUCACAAGAGGCCCUGUUUGCACUAAUUCGGCAGGGCAUUCCUUCAGCAAGGAGGCUCCGAAAUAGGAAAGCUCUUCUUAAUCUAAUGCAAGACAAGGUUCCCUCUCUGGACUGUUAUACAAAUGGAAUCAAGCUGCCUGCAAGAGAGGAAACCUGGUAAAUUGAGAGCCUUUUGUAAACCAGGAAGCCGAGAAAGAAAACAGACCCAGUCAUUGUCCUGGUAGUUGAGCAUGUUCUGCUGGAAAUGCCAUUGCUUGAGAAAUAGAAAAUGAUGAAAGGAUACAUAUGAUCCUUCUUUACUGAAUUUUUUUUCGUUUUGCGUGUCAAGUAGCAUUUACAUAGCAAUUAUUAGGAUGUAUCAUCUGUUAUUAGCUCUCUCUUAAAUGUUUUAGGUGUACUUAUAAGUUUUAUCAAUUAAUUUAUAUUAUUUUUUAUA